rnacentral:rRNA from 1 species
UUCCGGUUGAUCCCGCCGGAGGUUACUGCUAUCGAGGUUCGACUAAGCCAUGCGAGUCGAAUGUAGCAAUACAUGGCGUACUGCUCAGUAACACGUGGAUAACCUACCCCUGAGAUGGGAAUAAACCCGGGAAACUGGGUAUAAUACCCGAUAGAUCUCGACUGCUGGAAUGCAUCGAGAUCCAAAGCUCCGGCGCUCAAGGAUGGAUCUGCGGCCUAUCAGGUAGUAGUGGGUGUAGUGUACCUACUAGCCUACGACGGGUACGGGUUGUGAGAGCAAGAGCCCGGAGAUGGAUUCUGAGACACGAAUCCAGGCCCUACGGGGUGCAGCAGGCGCGAAAACUUUACAAUGCUGGAAACAGCGAUAAGGGGACCUCGAGUGCCAGGUUACAAAUCUGGCUGUCGUGAUGCCUAAAAAGCAUUGCAUAGCAAGGGCCGGGUAAGACCGGUGCCAGCCGCCGCGGUAACACCGGCGGCUCGAGUGGUAACCGUUAUUAUUGGGUCUAAAGGGUCUGUAGCCGGCCGGAUAAGUCUCUUGGGAAAUCUGGCAGCUUAACUGUCAGGCUUUCAGGAGAUACUGUCUGGCUCGAGGCCGGGAGAGGUGAGAGGUACUUCAGGGGUAGGGGUGAAAUCUUGUAAUCCUUGAAGGACCACCAGUGGCGAAGGCGUCUCACCAGAACGGACCUGACGGCAAGGGACGAAAGCUAGGGGCACGAACCGGAUUAGAUACCCGGGUAGUCCUAGCCGUAAACGAUACUCGCUAGGUGUCGGCAACGGUGCGACCGUUGUCGGUGCCGUAGGGAAGCCGUGAAGCGAGCCACCUGGGAAGUACGGCCGCAAGGCUGAAACUUAAAGGAAUUGGCGGGGGAGCACCACAACGGGUGGAGCUUGCGGUUUAAUUGGAUUCAACGCCGGAA